UUUUUUCUUGCGAGAAAUCAUUCAUACACAACAAACAAGGUGUUCAAAUUGCAUGAAUAAUGAUAACAGGAUGGGUCGGGAAAAAUUGAAAUUGAAAUCAAACUACAAUAGACAGGCAAAAAAAACAUAUAGAAGCAUUAGUAUAUCAUCAUCACCAUCAUACUGUAAAAGCUUAAAAGUGAACGGUAUACAGGUUCUGAUAUCUUGACUAAAUACAAAAUCAUGUCAUACACCUGAUAGCUUUCCUCAUCAUCAUCAUCAUAUAAUAAUCACAAGAAAGUCAAAAUAACCAGAUAAAUGUCUCCGAGAGUGGCGUUUAUUUAUUCUUAAGGACAAUUGGGAGGACAAUUAUGAGGAUCAGAGCUAUCAAAAUUGCCAAUACAAUCAGCUUUAUCUUCAUAUUUUGCAGCCACAUUUUUCUGCGGAUUUUGGUCCCUGAGUUCCUGAAGUCUUGUGCCUGCCUCAGAAAACAGCAAGUUAGAAAACAUUUCGAGUUAAAAAAAAAACAGGCAAUGGUUUUUUUAAUAACCCCACCCCAACCCAUCUUUUGUGUGGGAUGGAGAGGAAGGAGUAGAUCUUAUCAUGACACUCGGUGUGCCAACAAUUAUCAUAAAAAAUGCAACUAGAAACAAUAGUUGUUCACAUGAAAAAAAAACUAAGUACUGAUGCUUUAGUUCAACACCUUCCAAUGAAUUACCAACCUGGUGAUGAAGGUUCUCAGUCUUGUCAACCAAAAGCUCUAUCUUUUCCCCCCUGUCCAGGACCUACAUUAAGUUUCAAACAUGUCAAUAUAAUCUAACAGAAUGUCCACGAUUAUGAGACAUCUAAUCAUGAUUGCAGCCCAAAACUUGGACUACUUUUCUUCUGAUAUGUACAAUCGCUGUGAUAUCUCCUUUUCAAUACCAUAUAUAUGGUAUAAUUAAUAGACAGAAAUCCACUCCUUCAAUAUGCGAUUGAAAAGCACAAAAUUGUAAUUGUCAUGUCUACAAGAAUCAAGAGUAAAUACUUGCUAGUUGUAGAAUAGUUGAAUACUACAGUUAAAUCUUGGUUUUCUACGUAAUUUAAUUUUGGCCCAGUGAAGGAACUUAGCUUCAAAUAAUCAGUGAGCAAAGCACAACUCAAGCAAUCACAACUCAAGCCAUGUGCAAUAGAAAUAUAAGUAACAUCUUCUAUUAUGAAAGAAGAGAAAGUGUGCUUUCAAAACAUCCAUAAAUAUAUCCAGAUCAAAACAUCUUCUAAUAUGGUUUUCAACAAGAAAAAAAUCAUGAGAAGUCGGCGAACAUUGUUUUCGACCAUUUAACUGGUAACUAGAUUUAGUUUCAAGCCAGCGAUAGCCUGAGGAAACUUACGGAUAGAUGAAUUUUUUUCCACAAGACAUCCUUAUUGAACCAUAUUUUCUGAAUCAAACUCAAUUUAUUGCACCCUAUGGGAUAUGGCUAUAUACGAAAGCAUUGAAUCAAUUUGAUCAAACUUUCAAUAUGGAAUUCAGAGGCAUCAAAUAGGAAGUGAUAAUCGAAGCAUGGAACCACAACGGAAUACACGAUAAACCAAAAGAUGGUAGGUCCCCAUCAACAGCACUUGAACGAGAUAGAAUUAGAAGGUCCCCUUGCCUAACUCCUUGUUAUGCCCAUAAAAGCAAGCCUUAGGCUCACCAUGCAAAAUAACAAAAUAUUUGGCCAGAAGGGGAAUCCACUUUCUCCAUUUAGAACCAAAGUACUGCCUGCCAAGAAACUUAUAUAACCCUGACUCCCCCUAUGCUUCCUUAAAAUCCAACCUAAAAACUAAGUUAUAUCCUUUUUUUUCCUGGAGUAACAUCAUCCACUACUUCAUUAGGUAUUAAAAUAGCAGUCUAAUGUUUGUUUCAUGCAAUCAAAGAAAUAUGGUUGUUCAAGAUGAAUUUUGAUAUAAUAGAUUCUUUAUACUAAAACACCGACAAAAAUAGACAACGUGGGAAAUGGGUUCAAUCUGAAAAGAGGAAUGCAAACUUAGUCGGUUCCAUUUUUUUUGCUCCUCUUGAACCCUAGUCCUUGUGAACCUUUUCCCAAAUUAGGUGGCCACCCAAUUGAACAUAAAAAAAAAAAAAAAAAAAAAAAAAUCCAAUUUUUUGUUGUUAUAUUUAAUAAAAUGUCAUGAUUACACAAGAACCCUCAUUUAAUUGCAACUUUUGGUUUGUGUAAAGAAAGCUGCAAGUCUGACUAAAACAUACUCAAUGCCUAAGCUGGGUCACACACUCCCACUAUCAGCUUAUGUAGUAACUAAUACAAAAAAACAUAAUACAAAAGUAACCAAGCAAACUCAUAAGUCAUGAUACUGUGUGGCAAAUAAACAAAUGAGAAUAUACUAAUUCAGCCUAACUAUCCCAUGUUGUUUGUGGACAUUGAACAAUACUUUGAUGUGAUGUGUAAUAUAUUAUAUAAAAUAAUAUAAUGCUUUAAGAUAAUAUCUUUCUUCCACUUAAACUUUGAGGCCCCCAAAAAUGACUGUCUCAAGCCUAUGUUUCAGAAGUACAAUAGCAGAAAAAAAUUAUAGUAAAAUGACGUGCUGAUAGAAUGAGCAAGUGACUCUAUGAAGCCUACAUAGCAGAAGAAUGAAAACAGAGUACUGGAAUGCAUACAAAUGCGAGUGCAGAAUGAAUGGGGGACUAUGUGUAGCCUUUGUUUUAGAAUUAUGAGAUCAGAGUGAUUGAAUAAUCAAUAUAGCACAUGUUCAAUCAAGUAAUGAUAAAGUGGUUUCGUGGGAGGAACACAAGGGAUAGAGAGAUAAGGAGAUGUAGUGUAGGUUUAACUCCCUCCCACUAAUAUUUCUAACCAAGGUAAUUAUCAUAACUAAAACGGCCGGUUCGACAAGUUGAACCAAGAGCCGGAAUUGUGCUUGGUGCGAUUAGACGUUAAAAUUUGCUGGCAUAAGAACCGGACUACAAGUUCGUAAACCAGUAUAAAAAUUUCUAAAACUGGUCAAAACCUGUGGUUGACCAGUUAUUGUAGUUAACAAACCAUGCACGCUCAGAAAUGAAAAUGGAUUGACUGGAUAAUGGCUCACAGCUGCAUUUUAUACGGAUUUGAGAUGUUCAUGUAUAUUUUUUUUCUUAUCUCUUUGAAGUGGGACUCCAGCAGUUUCUUUUUAUAUUCGUUUGUGUUACUUCAGUUUUGUGUACUGACUAGGAAACUUACGUUUUCCAUUCCAAGGUUUGACUGUUAAUGGGCAUAUAAUAAUAAAUAAUAAUAAUAAUAAUAAUAAUAAUACAUAGAUAUAACAAGUGUUAAAGAGAGACAAAAUGAAAGAAAAAAGAGAUGCAAUGAUGAUAUGAUAUUACUAUUAAAUAUCACUUCAUCCAUCCCACAAUUACUAUCGUAUUUGACCAUUUCACACAAAUGAAGAAAAAUGAUAAAUGAAAGAAAUAGAAUUGUCAAAGAACAUUAUGACGUCGUUUGAUCCAUGUAGCCAAUCACACUUAAUGGGAUAUGGCUUGAUUGUUGUUGUGCAUCACUCCCAAGUUAUUAUUUUCUACUUUUCAUUUAUGAUAAUUGUGAUUUUACUAAAUUAUUAUUAUUAUUAACCAUUGAUGUAUUUUCAUUAUCAUAAAUGAAAAGUAGAAAAUAAUAACUUGGGAGUGAUGCACAUUGUAUUAGUUAGAUGGUACAAUUGGAAAAAUUCAAUUAAAACUACAUUGAAAAUUGAAAGUGACACUCUUCUAAGACGACUUUUUUUUUUUGCAAAUGUGAUAAUUAUUAUGAGACAAAGGGGGUAAUAUAUUAUUGUCAUAAACAAGUUUAUGAAAGUAUAUUUAUACUGUCCAAAAAUAUAAAAAAUGAUAUACAUGAAUAUAAAAAACUAUACUAAUGUAUAAUUUUAACAAACAGCAAGAUCCUUUCAAAAAUAAAAAGUGUAAUUUUAUAUAAUAAAUACUAUAUUGGGUUAAAGAUGCGUUUGAUAUUUUGUAAAAUGAGCAAAUUUUGAUUUUGGUCAAUGUAUAAAAAUUUCUUCAAUUUUAAUCCUUUCAAACUUUGAAAGUUUUGCUUUUGGUCUCUAUAAAACGAGUGAAUUUUGGUUUAGGUCCAUGUGAUUUUUAUCCCUCUAACAAUCAUUGUUUCUUGGUACUUGGCUAUUACUUUUGGAAAGAAAAAUACAAUUCAUUUUACAGCUCAAAGAAAGGUUUUUCAUGUAGUAAACUGCUAACAUGACACCACAACCAUUGUUGGGUAUCAUUAGGGAUGGCCAAAUGAACCUUUAUUAACUUAUAAGCAGUUAACCAAUGAUGUAUAAUGGCAGGGACCAAAAACAUCAUUUUCAAAUUUUGGUGGGAUGAAAAGCGAAGAAAAGUUUCCUCAUUUUACAAUAACUAAAAAUAAAUUUAAUCCUAAUAUAUAUAUCUUACACGUGCAAUGAUAUACCAAAAAAGUAAGAAUUUAGAUAUACUUAUUUUGUCAUUAUUGUAAAAUAAUUCACUAUAUCAAUGUCUAUUUAUAGUCAUACUAAUUAAUUAAAGAAAAUAGAACAGAAAAACCAAGAUUCCAUACGUAACCCAAAACAAGCCAGACGUUUGAGUUUUAGAAAACUUUCCCUCCCCUCUUUUGUCUCUCCAAACACUCAGUUUAAUUACUUUCAAAUGUAACCUACCGAAUUGUGCAGUAUGAAUCACAACUUGUGAGAGUCUAACUCUUGCAAAAUGGAUGAAUUUCAUAAAAUACUGGCCAGACUAACUUCAUGGUCUCACUUAUGAGGUUUAGUAUUCGUAUAUAAAGGUUUUCUCAAAAAUUCACUCUAUGUGUUAUGCAGUAUUUUCUAUUUUUGUAAAAAUUUAAACAAUCAAAUAUAUACAUUCUUCCUACAAAAUACGAUUCUUAAAUCACAAAGCAGUUAAAUCCAUUCGGCUCACAUCAUACAAUCCUCUUAAGUAAAAGUAAGAUAAGUAUACCUUUUCAAUGUUCUCCAUCAUGACACCUUUCACUUCAGACACCUGAGCUUUCACCUUAGCAAGCUUACUCACCUCCUCCGGGUGAUCAACACAAUACUGCAUAUGUUCCUUCAAUUUUGGCCUGCAACCAUUAAACAUCAAAUCACAAACUUCCCUUCAACAACAAACCAUCAACCUCACACAAAACAUAAAACUCAUUACCCAAAUUCCUUAUUCAAGCUGUUAGGUGCAGCUGUAGACGCCUUCCCACCACCAUAUUUCGCAACAAAAUCAUCCUUCACACGCUCCAGAAAAGCCACCGGCACUUGUCUUCCAACAGUUUCAUCCGCAACAACACAAUACG
rnacentral:lncRNA from 1 species